CCAGAGGACAGGAGGACAUCGAAACAUCAACAUCCGGCUACCUGUCUGCUCCUACCUGCUGACGUCACCACCGUCAAAUAAUAAAAGGUUGUGUCCCGACGUCUCACGAGUCGCUGUUUGAUGCCGUCACACCACAACAUCCUGUCGCGUGCCGCUACACGGUGACGGCGGCUGUGGUGCGACGCGUUGGAUGUUAGCUUCAAGCUACAAAGAGUCAGACAUUCAACGUUUUAUUAUCAGUUAUAUCCGCGAAUAAAAGUUCACCCGUAGUUUGUUUGAAAAAAAUACAAUGAAAUAAAAUCCGUUUGAAGAAAUGCGAAGACGAAGAUUGAGCAGUUACCUGAAGAGAAGGAGGUAAUCAGCGGGUUGUGGAGCAGAUUGAAGGAAGGACUUAUACUCCUGUCUCCUGACCUGUCUCCUGUCUCCUGACCUGUCUCCUGUCUCCUGACCUGUCUCCUGUCUCCUGACCUGUCUCCUGUCU